rnacentral:tRNA from 1 species
GAGAAAUUGGCUCAACUGGUAGAGCGACCGUUUUACACACGGUAGGUUGAAUGUUCGAAUCCUUCAUUUCUUAUCA